UUACAGAGCGGUGUUAGGGCACAAAGAAUUUUGAUUUCUUAGGAGAGGGUCAUAGCCUCCUGGUAAG
rnacentral:tRNA from 1 species